rnacentral:rRNA from 1 species
GAUGAACGCUGGCGGCGUGCCUAAUACAUGCAAGUCGAGCGAACAGACGAGGAGCUUGCUCCUCUGACGUUAGCGGCGGACGGGUGAGUAACACGUGGAUAACCUACCUAUAAGACUGGGAUAACUUCGGGAAACCGGAGCUAAUACCGGAUAAUAUAUUGAACCGCAUGGUUCAAUAGUGAAAGACGGUUUUGCUGUCACUUAUAGAUGGAUCCGCGCCGCAUUAGCUAGUUGGUAAGGUAACGGCUUACCAAGGCAACGAUGCGUAGCCGACCUGAGAGGGGGAUCGGCCACACGGGAACUGAGACACGGUCCAGACGACUACGGGAGGCAGCAGUAGGGAAUCUUCCGCAAUGGGCGAAAGCCUGACGGAGCAACGCCGCGUGAGUGAUGAAGGUCUUCAGAUCGUAAAACUCUGUUAUUAGGGAAGAACAAAUGUGUAAGUAACUAUGCACGUCUUGACGGUACCUAAUCAGAAAGCCACGGCUAACUACGUG